rnacentral:lncRNA from 1 species
GUAGGGACCUCUGGGAGAAACACUGAGCAACAGCCUCCUCCUCUGCUUACCUCCUCCGGGCUCAAGUCUGGGAGACCUACUCCAGGAGGCGCUGUUCCCAGAGUCUGUGCAGAAGCUCUGUCCUCCUACUCGGAGCACUUGGGAAGGCUGCAUCUGGCCUGUCUUCCUUUCCUGGUCUGAGGGGAGCUGGUGCCAGAAAGAAGUUGAAAAUGUCACUCUCUCUGCCUUGUGGAAUUGGGACAAGUAUUGUUCUGGGAAGAAGUGAGAAAAAGGUGGAUUGAAAGCUCUUCAGAGCCUAGCACAAUGUGAACACAGCAGGCUUUUGCUCAUGUCUAAGAAUUAUGAUGUUUUAUUUUCAGGAAUAGAACUUAAUCAAUUUCAAGCCAGGAAAAAAAUUUUACCAAGAAAAUCACUAACUCAGGAUGCUUUUAUACUUUAUUCACUUAAAACAAUGAUAAAUAGUUCACUGUGUUUCAUGUCUUUAUAGCAAUCCGAUUUUUUUAAACUACUUUUUUGUUUUACCAACCUGUCUGAAAAGCUGGUGUGUAAUUUUCUGCUAUUUGUAAUUGGUUUACAUUUUUGACACAAACUUUUAUGUACAUAUAUUUGAUUGUUAAAUAUGAACUUACAUGAAUUGAGCUAAUUCUACUUGACUAUAAUAUUUACUGGAGCCUCAUGGAUUAAAAAGAAAUAUUUUGCAAAUUCAUAUUAAAAAUUCAUUUUUCAGAAAUAUAA